GGGGACCAUUCAAAAGUUGGGAUGUUACCUGAUACAAUCUUCCUAUAUAAAAUAAAAAAAAAAAAACCCUGUCAUUUCCUGCUUGUAGUGCUUGAGAUGGUCCUACAAGUCUCCGGUAGACAGGGACAAAA